rnacentral:rRNA from 1 species
UACGAAGGGGGCUAGCGUUGCUCGGAAUUACUGGGUGUAAAGGGUUCGUAGGCGGUGUAGCAAGUCGGGAGUGAAAUCUCUGGGCUUAACCCAGAGGCUGCUUCCGAAACUGCUGUGCUUGAGUGUGGGAGAGGCGCGUGGAAUUGCAGGUGUAGCGGUGAAAUGCGUAGAUAUCUGCAGGAACACCCGUGGCGAAAGCGGCGCGCUGGGCCACUACUGACGCUGAGGAACGAAAGCUAGGGGAGCAAACAGG